AGCUUUGCGUGGUGGCAGUAUCAUAGCCAACAAGGUUUAUCCAAGGCAUGGUUAUUGCUAAUUGAAAACUUCUCCAGGGGCGCCAGGGUGACUCAGUCGGUUAAGCGUCUGACUUUGGCUCAGGUCAUGACCU
ensembl:snRNA U4 U4 spliceosomal RNA